UAGGGUGAUCAACUGUUCUGGUUUGCCUGAGACUGAGGGGUUUCCAGGACACGAAACUUUUCAGGGCUAAAACUGGGAAGUCCCUGGCAAAUCAGAACAGCUGAUCAUCCUAACUGUGG
rnacentral:pre_miRNA from 1 species